UACGAAGGGGGCUAGCGUUGCUCGGAAUCACUGGGCGUAAAGGGCGUGUAGGCGGCCAACUAAGUCCGACGUGAAAUCCCCAGGCUUAACCUGGGAACUGCGUCGGAUACUGGAUGGCUUGAAUUCGGGAGAGGGAUGCAGAAUUCCAGGUGUAGCGGUGAAAUGCGUAGAUAUCAGGAGGAACACCAGUGGCGAAGGCGGCUUCCUGGACCGGUUCUGACACUGAGGAGCGAAAGCGUGGGGAGCGAUCCGG
rnacentral:rRNA from 1 species